rnacentral:rRNA from 1 species
CCCUUAGAUGUCCUGGGCCGCACGCGCGUUACACUGAUGCAUUCAACGAGUUUUACCUUGGCCGAGAGGCCUGGGCAAUCUUUUAAACCUGCAUCGUGAUAGGGAUAGAUUAUUGCAAUUAUUAAUCUUGAACGAGGAAUUCCUAGUAAACGCAGAUCAUCAAUCUGCAUUGAUUACGUCCCUGCCCUUUGUACACACCGCCCGUCGCACCUACCGAUUGAAUGGUCCGGUGAAGCCUCGGGAUUGUGGCCAGUUCACUUUAUUGGGAGUUGGCUGCGAGAACUUGUCUAAACCUUAUCAUUUAGAGGAAGGUGAAGUCGUAACA